rnacentral:miRNA from 17 species
GGGGACCGUUGCACUGUAGGA